GUUGUUGCUGGGUCACACGAUGCUUCUUUCAAAAGGCAUUUUCCUCCGCUUCAUUAAGUAUGCACCACUGGCAACUUUUGUUUGUUAUAAACCGACGCUUCCUCCACCUACCCUCCUUCCUAAAAACCAAACACUAAUCUUCUCUGCUCACACACAACACACAAAAAUGGUCACCACCGCCCCACAAGAGAAGGAGGUAACACACGAGUUCCCCUUCUUCCGUGUCUUCAAAGACGGCACGGUGGAGGUCCUCCGUCCUCCACCGAAAUUCCUUCCUCCCUCCGACGACCCCGCCACCGGUCUCCGCAUCAAAGACACCGUCAUUUCAUCCGACCCUCCCGUCUCCGCUCGUCUCUUCCUCCCCAAAAUAACCAACAAUAACAAACUCCCUGUCUACCUCUUCUUCCAUGGCAGCGGCUUCUGUGCCAGGUCCGCCUUCUCUCCAGAAUACAGCAACCACGUCGCCGCCGUCGCCAACGAAGCCAAAGUCCUCGCGGUUUCCGUCGAGUAUGGCAAGUUUCCAGCCCGACCACUGCCCGCGUGCUACGAAGACGCCUGGAGAUCCUUCCAGUGGGUCACGUCGCACGCGGACGGAACAGGGACAGAGCCCUGGCUGAACGACCACGGCGACUUCCAGCGUCUUUUCGUCGCCGGAAGCAGCGCCGGCGGGAAUAUCACCCACACGCUGGUUAGCCAAAUCGGAAAAACAGGAUCUCCGCCGGGAGUGAGGGUAGAGGGUGCGAUUAUGGUCCACCCUUUCUUUGGUGGAAUAGGGGACGAUGCGCAGUGGCUGUUCAUGUGUAAGGAUAACAAGGGGCCGGAGGAUCCGAGGCUGAAGCCGGCGGAGGAGGAUUUAAGGAGGCUUGGGUGUGAGAGGGUGUUGGUGUGUGUGGCGGAGAAGGAUUCGUUGAUGGUUGCCGGAAAGAACUACGUUGAGGCGUUGAAGAAGAGUGGUUGGGGUGGGAGUAUUGAGCUUGUUAUUCAUUGGGGUAUGACACAUAGUCAACACGUUCACUUCCCAGAUCAAGGGAAAUCUCGUGAAGUUUUGCGAAAGUUUGCUUCUUUCAUCCAUCAACAACCAUGAAGGUCAUGAACCAAAUUCUUGGUACCAUUCAAUAGUGGGUUAUUGUUGGUUUGUGGCCCAAACACCAUUAGAAAAGUUGCAGGUCAUAACCUACCUCGGUGAGUUGCUAGAUGGGGACGGAGCGGAGGAUCUUUUAUCAUCUUUUGUACUUUUGGAUACUUUGUUAUAGUACUCUCACCUUUGUACUUUAUGCUUUGUUGCCUUAGAGGCUAAACUUGAGAGACAGGAUACAUAUUCUGUUUUAAAUAAAAAACUCUGUCAUGUUUGUAUUUAACUAGUCGGCCUAAACUCCGUGGUCUACGGUUGGUAUCCUUUUGACUAUCAUACUUAUAUAUAUGUGUAUGUAUCUAUCUUGAUUAUUAUUGUACUA